GAUGAACGCUGGCGGCGUGCCUAAUACAUGCAAGUCGAGCGAACGGACGAGAAGCUUGCUUCUCUGAUGUUAGCGGCGGACGGGUGAGUAACACGUGGAUAACCUACCUAUAAGACUGGGAUAACUUCGGGAAACCGGAGCUAAUACCGGAUAAUAUUUUGAACCGCAUGGUUCAAAAGUGAAAGACGGUCUUGCUGUCACUUAUAGAUGGAUCCGCGCUGCAUUAGCUAGUUGGUAAGGUAACGGCUUACCAAGGCAACGAUGCAUACCCGACCUGAGAGGGUGAUCGGCCACACGGGAACUGAGACACGGUCCAGACUCCUACGGGAGGCAGCAGUAGGGAAUCUUCCGCAAUGGGCGAAAGCCUGACGGAGCAACGCCGCGUGAGUGAUGAAGGUCUUCGGAUCGUAAAACUCUGUUAUUAGGGAAGAACAUAUGUGUAAGUAACUGUGCACAUCUUGACGGUACCUAAUCAGAAAGCCACGGCUAACUACGUG
rnacentral:rRNA from 1 species